UGAAGACUAGUGCAAAGAAAAUUCAUUGUACAAACAUCCUGCCCAAGAAAGGAAGGUUUGCCCAUACUCCAUCUACAGGAUUUAGUCCUUUGUAGCCACAUACAGUAUGGGACAGAAGAGUUUGGAAAAGAUUCAUCUAUCAAGUUUAACAACUUUCUGGUGUAACUUCAGAGAGGUUUAUUGCUUAUUCAUGUGGAAGACUGACCCUGAAUCUUCCAGGCCCUGGAAGAUUUUCUGUCUUCAGGGAAUGUGAGGAAGUGUGGAGACAAAGGGAGAGACUUGAAGUAUUUCUCCAGGAAGAAAAGAUUGCACCUGUUCUUAGGACAUGAUGAGAGGAUUGUGAAGACAGUGAUGGAACAUACAACAAAAACCUGUUGCUUCAUGCUCUGUGACACGUUUGCUGUACCAGGAAUGAAACAGAGAGAAGGAAUUCGGCCAUUGGGAUGAUGAAAUCUGGAUCCUGGUUCUAUAAGCUGCUGAUGAUAUGGACUUCUGUUGUCAUUUGGAUGUGUUUUUAUAUUCACUGUCUUAAUUAAUAGUUAUGGAUGUUGCAUGACAUGGUGUUAACACCCUAUCUGAAAAUAAAAUGAGUACUGACAUGUCAA